AUGCCCCCACCCGUGAUGGCGCGCGCAGCACCCAUCCCCAGCUGCCGCAGCGCCGGGGCCGCCGCAUCUCCCCCCUCAUCCUCUCCUCGCGCGCGUAUAUAUACCCGCGCGCCCUCUCCCUCUUCCCGCCCACCGCUCCUCGCCUCUCCGCCCCUCCGCCUCCUCCCCGAUCCCAAACCCACUCCUCGUCGGUGUUCGUUUAGGAUUCUUGCGGCGGUCAAGGGGGCGGCGUUGUCCGGCCGGCGGAGCGCGAGGGAGGAGAAGGAGGAGGAGAUGACGAUCGAGUCGUCCGUCAGGCUCGCCGGCGGGGAGCUGACGGUCCGCGGGCGCACGGUGCUGUCCGGCGUGCCGGACGCGGUGUCGGCGUCGCCCGCGGCGGCCCGGGGCCCCGUCGACGGCGUCUUCCUCGGCGCCGACCUCGCCGACCCGGCCUCCCGCCACGUCGUCUCCCUCGGCCACAUGAGGGGCGUGCGGUUCAUGGCGUGCUUCCGGUUCAAGAUGUGGUGGAUGGCGCAGAGGAUGGGGGACAAGGGCGGCGACGUCCCGCACGAGACGCAGUUCCUGCUGGUGGAGUCCAGGGGCCCCGGCGCCGGCGAGGAGGAGGAGGACGAGGCGUCGUACGUCGUGUUCCUCCCGCUCGUGGAGGGCGCGUUCCGGGCCAGCCUCCAGGGCGGCGGCGCGGGCGGCGACGAGCUCCAGCUCUGCGUCGAGAGCGGCGACGCCGGCACGCGCGCCAGUUCCUUCGACCGCGCGCUCUUCGUGGGCGCCGCGGAGUCCGACCCUUUCGCCGCCAUCGCCGGCGCCGUCGCGGCCGUCAGGUCCUGCCUCGGGACCUUCCGCCCGCGCGCCGAGAAGAAGCUCCCCGCGAUCGUUGACUACUUCGGGUGGUGCACGUGGGACGCCUUCUACCAGGACGUCACCCAGGAGGGCGUCGAGGCCGGGCUCCAGAGCCUCGCCGCCGGUGGUGCGCCGCCCAAGUUCGUCAUCAUCGACGACGGCUGGCAGUCGGUCGGCACCGACAAACCGAGCCCUGACAUGGACUCCCCCGGCGAGGCCGGCAACGGCAAGCCGCCGCCCCUUCCCCGUCUAACCGGCAUCAAGGAGAACAGCAAGUUCCAGAGCGGCGAGGAUCCGGCCACCGUCACGGGCAUCGAGACGCUGGUGCGCGCGGCGAAGGAGAAGUACGGGCUCAAGUACGUGUACGUCUGGCACGCCAUCACCGGCUAUUGGGGCGGCGUGCGGCCGGGCGCCGCCGGGAUGGAGGCCUACCGCUCCAGCAUGCAGUUCCCCAAGAUCUCGCCGGGCGUCGCGGAGAACGAGCCCAACAUGAAGACCGACGUGCUCACCCUGCAGGGGCUCGGCCUCGUGCACCCGCAGGCCGUGCACCGCUUCUACGACGAGCUCCACGCGUACCUCGCCGCCGCCGGCGUCGACGGCGUCAAGGUGGACGUGCAGUGCGUCCUCGAGACGCUCGGCGCCGGCCACGGCGGCCGCGUGCAGCUCACCAAGGAGUACCACCGCGCGCUCGACGCCUCCGUCGCCAAGAACUUCCCGGACAACGGCAUCAUCGCCUGCAUGAGCCACAACACCGACGCCCUCUACUGCUCGAAGCAGACGGCGGUGGUGAGAGCGUCGGACGAUUUCUUCCCGAGGGAGGCGGUGUCGCACACGAUCCACAUCGCGGCGGUGGCGUACAACAGCGUGUUCCUCGGCGAGUUCAUGCUCCCGGACUGGGACAUGUUCCACUCCCUCCACCCGGCCGGCGACUACCACGGCUCGGCGCGCGCCAUCAGCGGCGGGCCCGUCUACGUCAGCGACGCGCCGGGGAGGCACGACUUCGAGCUGCUGAGGAAGAUGGUGCUGCCGGACGGCACCGUGCUGCGCGCGCGGCUGCCGGGCCGGCCGACCAGGGACUGCAUGUUCGCGGACCCGGCGCGCGACGGCGCCACCCUGCUCAAGAUCUGGAACAUGAACAGGUUCACGGGCGUGCUCGGCGUGUACAACUGCCAGGGCGCGGCGUGGAGCUCCGCGGAGAAGAAGAACGUGUUCCACCAGGAGGCCGGCGCCGGCGCGCUGACCUGCGGCGUCCGGGGCCGCGACGUCCACCUCAUCGCCGAGGCGGCCACGGACGGCGGCGCCGGGUGGGGCGGCGACUGCGCCGUGUACCGCCACGGCGCCGGUGACCUCGUGGUCCUCCCCGACGGCGCGGCGCUGCCCGUGUCCCUCAGGGUCCUGGAGCACGACGUGCUCACCGUGUCGCCGAUCAAGGAUUUGGCGGCCGGGUUCAGGUUCGCGCCGGUGGGCCUCGUGGACAUGUUCAACGGCGGCGCGGCGGUGGAAGGCCUGACUUACAGCCUCCUCGCCGACGGCGAGGAGGCGGUCGGGCUGGUGAGCAUGGAAGUGCGAGGGCGCGGGAGGUUCGGCGCCUACUCGUCGGUCCGGCCGAGGAGUUGCACGCUGGGUUCUUCUCCGGUGGAGUUCUCCUACGACGCCUCCGGCAUGGUGAUCCUCGAGCUGGAGUCCAUGCCAUUGCCCAAGGAAAGGGUUCACAGGAUCGCCAUUGAGCUGUAG
rnacentral:rRNA from 1 species